GCCUCCGUAGCUCAGCAGGAUAGAGCGGCUGCGUCCUAAGCAGCGGGUCGGGAGUUCGAAUCUCUCCGGGGGCGCCA
rnacentral:tRNA from 1 species